GGGCGCACGGUGGAUGCCUUGACACUAGGAGUCGAUGAAGGACGGGACUAACGCCGAUAUGCUUCGGGGAGCUGUAAGUAAGCUUUGAUCCGAAGAUUUCCGAAUGGGGAAACCCACCAUACGUAAUGGUAUGGUAUCCUUAUCUGAAUACAUAGGGUAAGGAAGACAGACCCAGGGAACUGAAACAUCUAAGUACCUGGAGGAAGAGAAAGCAAAUGCGAUUUCCUGAGUAGCGGCGAGCGAAACGGAACAUAGCCCAAACCAAGAGGCUUGCCUCUUGGGGUUGUAGGACAUUCUAUACGGAGUUACAAAGGAACGAGGUAGACGAAGCGACCUGGAAAGGUCCGUCGUAGAGGGUAACAACCCCGUAGUCGAAACUUCGUUCUCUCUUGAAUGUAUCCUGAGUACGGCGGAACACGUGAAAUUCCGUCGGAAUCUGGGAGGACCAUCUCCCAAGGCUAAAUACUCCCUAGUGAUCGAUAGUGAACCAGUACCGUGAGGGAAAGGUGAAAAGCACCCCGGAAGGGGAGUGAAAGAGAUCCUGAAACCGUGUGCCUACAAAUAGUCAGAGCCCGUUAACGGGUGAUGGCGUGCCUUUUGUAGAAUGAACCGGCGAGUUACGAUCCCGUGCGAGGUUAAGCUGAAGAGGCGGAGCCGCAGCGAAAGCGAGUCUGAAUAGGGCGUUUAGUACGUGGUCGUAGACCCGAAACCAGGUGAUCUACCCAUGUCCAGGGUGAAGUUCAGGUAACACUGAAUGGAGGCCCGAACCCACGCACGUUGAAAAGUGCGGGGAUGAGGUGUGGGUAGCGGAGAAAUUCCAAUCGAACCUGGAGAUAGCUGGUUCUCCCCGAAAUAGCUUUAGGGCUAGCCUUAAGUGUAAGAGUCUUGGAGGUAGAGCACUGAUUGGACUAGGGGUCCUCAUCGGAUUACCGAAUUCAGUCAAACUCCGAAUGCCAAUGACUUAUCCUUAGGAGUCAGACUGCGAGUGAUAAGAUCCGUAGUCAAAAGGGAAACAGCCCAGACCGCCAGCUAAGGUCCCAAAGUGUGUAUUAAGUGGAAAAGGAUGUGGAGUUGCUUAGACAACUAGGAUGUUGGCUUAGAAGCAGCCACCAUUUAAAGAGUGCGUAAUAGCUCACUAGUCGAGUGACUCUGCGCCGAAAAUGUACCGGGGCUAAAUACACCACCGAAGCUGCGGAUUGAUACCGAAUGGUAUCAGUGGUAGGGGAGCGUUCUAAGGACAGUGAAGUCAGACCGGAAGGACUGGUGGAGUGCUUAGAAGUGAGAAUGCCGGUAUGAGUAGCGAAAGACGGGUGAGAAUCCCGUCCACCGAAUGCCUAAGGUUUCCUGAGGAAGGCUCGUCCGCUCAGGGUUAGUCAGGACCUAAGCCGAGGCCGACAGGCGUAGGCGAUGGACAACAGGUUGAUAUUCCUGUACCACCUCUUUAUCGUUUGAGCAAUGGAGGGACGCAGAAGGAUAGAAGAAGCGUGCGAUUGGUUGUGCACGUCCAAGCAGUUAGGCUGAUAAGUAGGCAAAUCCGCUUAUCGUAAAGGCUGAGCUGUGAUGGGGAAGCUCCUUAUGGAGCGAAGUCUUUGAUUCCCCGCUGCCAAGAAAAGCUUCUAGCGAGAUAAAAGGUGCCUGUACCGCAAACCGACACAGGUAGGCGAGGAGAGAAUCCUAAGGUGUGCGAGAGAACUCUGGUUAAGGAACUCGGCAAAAUGACCCCGUAACUUCGGGAGAAGGGGUGCUUUCUUAACGGAAAGCCGCAGUGAAUAGGCCCAAGCGACUGUUUAGCAAAAACACAGCUCUCUGCGAAGCCGUAAGGCGAAGUAUAGGGGGUGACACCUGCCCGGUGCUGGAAGGUUAAGGAGAGGGGUUAGCGUAAGCGAAGCUCUGAACUGAAGCCCCAGUAAACGGCGGCCGUAACUAUAACGGUCCUAAGGUAGCGAAAUUCCUUGUCGGGUAAGUUCCGACCCGCACGAAAGGUGUAACGAUUUGGGCACUGUCUCAACCAGAGACUCGGUGAAAUUAUAGUACCUGUGAAGAUGCAGGUUACCCGCGACAGGACGGAAAGACCCCGUGGAGCUUUACUGUAGCCUGAUAUUGAAUUUUGGUACAGUUUGUACAGGAUAGGCGGGAGCCUUUGAAACCGGAGCGCUAGCUUCGGUGGAGGCGCUGGUGGGAUACCGCCCUGACUGUAUUGAAAUUCUAACCUACGGGUCUUAUCGACCCGGGAGACAGUGUCAGGUGGGCAGUUUGACUGGGGCGGUCGCCUCCUAAAGUGUAACGGAGGCGCCCAAAGGUUCCCUCAGAAUGGUUGGAAAUCAUUCGUAGAGUGCAAAGGCAUAAGGGAGCUUGACUGCGAGACCUACAAGUCGAGCAGGGACGAAAGUCGGGCUUAGUGAUCCGGUGGUUCCGCAUGGAAGGGCCAUCGCUCAACGGAUAAAAGCUACCCCGGGGAUAACAGGCUUAUCUCCCCCAAGAGUCCACAUCGACGGGGAGGUUUGGCACCUCGAUGUCGGCUCAUCGCAUCCUGGGGCUGUAGUCGGUCCCAAGGGUUGGGCUGUUCGCCCAUUAAAGCGGUACGCGAGCUGGGUUCAGAACGUCGUGAGACAGUUCGGUCCCUAUCCGUCGUGGGCGUAGGAAAUUUGAGAGGAGCUGUCCUUAGUACGAGAGGACCGGGAUGGACGCACCGCUGGUGUACCAGUUGUUCUGCCAAGGGCAUAGCUGGGUAGCUAUGUGCGGAAGGGAUAAGUGCUGAAAGCAUCUAAGCAUGAAGCCCCCCUCAAGAUGAGAUUUCCCAUAGCGUAAGCUAGUAAGAUCCCUGAA
rnacentral:rRNA from 1 species